rnacentral:tRNA from 2 species
GGAGACGUGGCCGAGUGGCUUAAGGCGGCGGCUUGCUAAGCCGUUGUACGUUUAGGCGUACCGUAGGUUCGAAUCCUACCGUCUCCG